rnacentral:tRNA from 1 species
GGAUCGGUAGCUCAGCGGUAGAGCGUGGGAUUGCAGUGAUUUAAACAACUAUCCUAAGGUCACGCGUUCGACCCGCGUUCGAUCCU